ACAAAGUAAGCUUCUAGUCCUCAUGACUUCAGAAGCCCAGUUCCAGGUUCUCGGUCGGUGUGUUUCAGGGACCUCGAGGCAAGCCGGGACCAGAUGGUCAGAGAAGGGUGUAAUGGAGAAAAGGGUUCUCCAGGAGAAGGAGGUCUAAGGGGCCCCUCAGGAUUCCCUGGCCCUUACGGUGACAAAGGCAGCGUCGGGGACCCCGGCAUGCAAGGAGACAUGGGUUUCAAGGUGCACAUGAGAAGCACACUUGUGUCGAUGAUGGUGUAUACAAAGAAAAUAUGUCAGCAAUGAUCUUGUUGACAAAGGCAUGUGUACAUAAAUAAAUGUGUCUAAAAGUUAGAUUCUAGUCCUCA
rnacentral:lncRNA from 1 species